GGCCGAGUGGUCUAGUGGUGAGAACGUUAGCCUCGUCAGCUGAAGACGCGGGUUCGAUUUCCGCCUCGGCCA